GUCUUUUGCCGAAAUCUGAGUUUAUCCUCAGAUUUUUAAACCUACUAGAAGUACAUCUUCUAAUUGAUCUGGUGAUAUUUCUGACGGAAAAGUGGAAUACGUUUGAGCCGUUAAUGGUCCAUUAUUGAAAUACAACUCAAUGAUCCAGUGAUCAAUUAUGCCGCAUCAUACAUUGACACUCCACUGACGAUGAUCGAUUUCAUGAAGUCAACGAAGAAAAUGAUGGAUUCCACAACGGAGAACUACAGAUUCCUUGGUUGUAAAGUAAUUAACGAACCAAUUUCUCAGUUCACGCUUUUUGAAAUGUUGUCCUUUCAAAGUCCGCUGUGUCGAACGAAAUAGCUGUUAAUUUGAAGGUGCAACAGCUGGAGUAGAGACAGGGAUGACUUUCGAAGACUGUAACCAACUGACAUUUUUAACAAACAGUACGAAGAGUUCUGCAUCGGACCGGAUAUAUUUAAUAGUAUAGUUGCGAGGAAGAAACUACUCAUAAGUAAAGUAAACGGAAAAGAGGUUAGAAUUUGCAGAACAAUACAUAAAUGCUAACGACUUCUGAAAAAACAUAGUAUUUUCCGACGAGUCAAAAUGAAAUAUUUUCGAGUCGGACGGUAGUAAAAAAGUAUGGCGGAAAGCUAAUACUUUUAAUUGGAUUUCAAAAAUAUGCAAUCGACAACGAAACACGAAGGUGGAGAAGCGAGGAUGUAUUGCUGCUUUUGGAGACGGCAAUUUAGUAAUACAACAUACAGCCUAUAUGAAUAGUGCGUCAGUGGUUGAUAAUACCAAUACUUCCCACAGAUUAGCAACUCCUCCACAAUCGCUUAAAUUAAAUCCUAUCGAACAUGUAUGGACGAAACUAGAAAAAAAUGUAUGAAAACAUGAUAUAACGUCGAAAGAACACUUGAAAGAAAUAUUAAAAAGAGAAUGGUGUAAUAUAGAACCUUAUUUCGUUAGAAGUUUGGUGUUGUCAAUGCCCGAUAUAUUACGUGAAGUGAUUUAUCAGAAGAGUUAUCAUGCAAAAUAUUAAUUUAUAAAAUUCCUACUAAAAUAAUUGUAGCAAUAAUUAAGUGUACGAAUAUUUUUGUGCGGCGAUUUCUUACAGUCGCGUGAAUUUCAAAUCAUUUCAAGUUACUACAUGAUGUUAUUGUCUUCGGUUUAGGGUCAUUUGUUACUCUAAGAGUAAUGUUUAAU